GAAUACAUCAUCUUCAAGGCCUGGCCAAGCUGGACUUUGUUACUACGCCCAUGUGCCUGGAAUUUCUCAACCUGGGUAGCAGUUGUCUUUGGGAAACUGCUUGCACUUUCUGAGAUCUGAUCUUUGUGUUCUGCCUGCAAAUGUCUUGAUUCGGAUUCGUGAAGAAGGAGGGGCUACCGAGGGCGGAUGCUCCACAUCCAUCUUCCCCACACAGGCUUCUGCCUGGAGAGGAAGAUAAAGCAGCUUGUUCCUCCCUCACUAAUGCAUUACCGUGGUGUGGCCUGUGGCAAACAAGGACCAAUUAUUGAGUGUAGGUGUGGGUGUGCGUGUGAGCAUGUGCAGAGCCGAGGCUGAGGAGAGGAGUGAAGUGGCCAGACAAUCGUGGUCACGUGUGUUUUCCAGGGUGUGGGGCUGUGAAUGAACCCAUGCAGGGCCUGGGAGCUGUGGAGGCUUAGACACCUCUCUCUGAUCCCCGGACGCCAUGCAAUGAGAAUUGAUACUCAACACGCUGUGCUCUGCAACGCUGCAAAUGCCUUUUGAUGAUUAAAGAAAGAUUGGAUUGUUGCGCCUUG